rnacentral:lncRNA from 1 species
CCAUCUUCGAGUCCUGCUCAAAAGCCAAAGACUGCCGGGCGUGAUGGCGCAUGCCUGUAAUUCCAGCACUCAGGAGGCUGAGGCAGAAAGAUCCCCGUGACUUUGAGGCCAGUGUGGGCCUCAUGGUGAAUUCAUGGCCAGCCUGAACUACCGUGCAAGACCCUGUCUCCAAAAACAAGAAACAAAAAAACCCCUCAAAGACCACCUCCUCCAGGAAGCCAGGAGGGCACAGGGCCGUGAUUUCAUCUCUAUAACCCCGACUUAUGGAAGGAGAAUGCUGAUGGUUGCUGAUGGCAGGACACUUCCAGAACUAGAAGCAUUGUGAAUAGAAAGGAAGCAUCUGCACCCUUCCUGAGGUCCUCGUGGCAUGCCUGAGUGUCGCCUGGGCAGAAAACCCAGAGACCAGGGGCUCCAGGGAGCGAGAUCCUGUGCUCACAGGAGACACGCUUGGCACCAUCCUCUCGCCUGUCACUCUGCUCUGUUACACAUCCCACGACCUGGACCCAUGCUGGACCUAGGUACUGCACAGUUUAAAAGGUCUUUCUGGGCUGCUCAGCCACACUCUGCCUCUCUGCCACACUGCAUCCGGUCUGUCCAGCCUGGCUGUGGUUUCCUCCCUCUUUCGAUUUCCCAGACAGUGGAUGAAACAUCUCUCAGGCCACAAUCUAAAAGGUAUGGAGCUGUUAGUAGACUUGGCUGAGGAAGUCCCCCUGCAGCAUCACCCUGCCACCAUCAGCGUGCCAUCAGGCGAGUGGGAAGCCCAGGACAUCCCCCAGCUGAGUGUGUGCUUAACAGGACUCGCCUCUGAGGCCCCCACCCCCGAGGUGGCUGCCAGGGGGAGCCUCAUGGGGCAGCCUCGUAACGCAGGGUUAAUGAGGCCCCAGGCCUGUGAAGUGGGUAGCUCCUGCCCACUCAGCUGCGUCAGGUGACGGCAGGUUAAAGAGCACACGUCCCACAGGGCCCAGCCAACGCCAACAAGUGAUCCCUCCAUUCCAGGCUCAUGCUGCUCACCAUACAUCAGAAGCCCUCUCUGAGUGUGACUCCAUCCCUUCUUUGACAGUGCCAGCCAUCAGGGAGCCAUCAUGAGGCAGCCCCUCAGCCUUUCUCUCCCUCUGCUCCCAACAUCACUCAGUCCCCCAGGCUCCUCUGACACAGGCUGCUCUUGACGACUGUUUCUGCCAGGACUUGUGACCUUGAGACCCCUAUACUCUCCCACAGGCUGGUUGCCAGGUCCCUCCCAGGCUCCCAGAGUCAAGGGAAACUUCCAUUCCCCUGACUCCCAGCUUGCAUGUGGGAGGCUGCCUUGCCCGGGACCUUUCUGCUGGAACCCACUGGCUCACCUGGGUCACAGGGAGGGGCUCUGAUGGGGAAGCGAGGGGGGUUCCAGCAUUCUUCUGGCCCAGACCUCUCUCCCCAGCCCCUCAGCCAGCUGGAAUACUUGGCAGGUUGGGCCACAGCCCUCCCCACAGUGUCAGGAGGUUGGUGCCACCACGAUGCCACUUUACAGAGAAAGAAGGAGGCUACACAGCUCCAAGGAAAGCUAAAUUCAGAUCUGCCCCUUCCAAAAGGAAUCCUUCGCCAGGACAGUGGCUCCUGAGGCCUGUUCCCUCAGCCCCACCUCCCAAUCCCUGUUGGAAAUUACUUUGGAGCUGCUUGGGUGAAGAAGGGAGUGUGGAAGGGGAGGGCAGCAAGCUCUGUCUUCUCUAAAGCUAAGAAACAACAUCUCUGGGGUCAACGUGGCAGGAAGGGAAUCUCCCGGAAGAGAAGUCUCUGGUGGCAUCUCCCCCACCCCUGCGCAGGGCAGAAGAGCCAGAUGGGGAGGAGGGCUCCCUGCCCCCCAGCAAUGCGCCCCUGGCCCGGAGGCCUCUGAGUGUGGCCCCCAAGCCUCACAGGCAACAGCUGUGGAGCCCACUGCAGGGCCGGCUGGGUGGUGACACCCUGCACUGUCACCGGGUCCCCGAGCUCAGAAGGGCCCACUCGCCCUGUGAGGCUCUGCCCUUGCUGUCUUCAAAGUCUUAAUAAUUUUUAAACCAGGGCCCCACAUUUUCAUUUUCCAGUGGACCCCACAAAUUAUGCAGCAGGUCCUGGCCACUCAGGAAGCUCAGAGCUGGCAGGGCCCCACCCCUUCCUCACUGUACAGCGAGGAAACCGAGGCUGGGAGAAGAGGCCAGCCGGACUGGAGUCAGGGCGGCCAGUAGCGGCGGUGGGGUCAGAUGUCUGAGGAGCAGGUGCAGCUCAACACCUUCCUCACUCCUGUGUGCCGUCCCCCGGCCGCCUUCUACACCCUGGAGCCCAGAGUUCAGCCUCCGCCCCGGGGUCCCGUUCCCCGCUGGACUCCUCUCCCACAUGGGACAGCAGCACUUCCUGCCGGCUGGAAGGGGGGGGGGGAGGCGGGACUCAGGGCUUCU